UUUGUCCAAGUUUACACAACAGCCAUGUCCCAAUUGCAUUCAUCGUAGAAGCAGAUUUCACAAUAAAUUAUAUUCACAAGCAAAGAAAUGCUGAAUUUUUAUAAGACGUUUAGUGACCUAAAACGUCUUAUAAAAGUUUACAGAGGGAGUAGAUUCCUAAAAUAAUCUUAGUAACUGAAGCCACAUGUAUAACCAACAGGAUGAACACCAAUAACAUGAUAAAGAUGCAACAACAGACACUAGGUACAAAGCUGUGACAAUGGAGCAAAGGAAUGACACGUCCCAGUGACCAUGCCAUUCUAACACUGUAAACCCCAAAGAAAUGCUCAAGGAAGAAAUAAAUAACAUCUGAUUUUCUGGCACAAGAUAAAGAGCAACUAUAAAGAGAAACAACAAGCUGAAUCCUAUCAAUAGCUGCUCAUGGAUUCACCCAAGGCGGAUCUUCUCCCUUUUAUCACAUUUGACAGCUUAAACAUCCAUUUCACAAGCAAGAAGGAAACAAAAUAUGGAUGGUUUGGACUAUCGUGGACAAGGGCGUACAAGGAACGGUGGAAAUGACACCUCAAUGUCGCCAAGCAAACGUGCUUCGCGUUUUUUGAUGGAACAACCGGCUACCUGGCCAUCGAUUGCCUUAGUAUUACCAGCCAGCCUCUUGGUCGAAUCGUCAUCAAGGCAGAUGUCCGUACCAAUCAUUCACCGAUAACUUGGUGGAAUCUUGGCAUGUAUAAAGCCCCAGGCACCACACGAGUAUGUCCCUACUAGCAAAGGAUCUGAGGUAGAUUCAGGUAAAAGCGAGCACCAAGAUUUGAAUCCGGUGGUUUUCAGUUCCCAUGCGCCAACCCAGGAUCGUUUCUCAGGAGCAAUCCGCAACCUUUCAACCAGAAGUGAGGUUUGUUUUUUCCAAGUGAAUUCAGAAGGGAGGUUACUGAAUACUACUGUCUUUCUUACCUGAGUGAGUGUCUGUUGCCAGAUGCCAUGUGUCCAGUUAUAAAAACUACUUCAAGCAUAGAUCUUAUCAUGGAUUGACCUCUGGUUUAUCAAUCAGUCUCAUCAACCUCCCGCCUCACUUGCUAUAUAAAUGAAACAAACGAAACUGUGAGACAAUAUGUGGUAAAUCAACCGUGAAUGAAUGGACGACACGCCACAAUCAUAAUAACUACACCAAAACCUCAGAGUCUGCACGCAGCAUACCAAUGAAACUGGAAUCCAGGAAAAAGCAAAAGACUGAAGCAAAAACGAUGCAUUGUACUGGAAUAUUCUGGACAAAGGCCUGAAAACGAGAUGUGCUGAUUGCGCAAAGCAAACGUGUACCUCAUUUUCGAUGGGACAACCAGCCAGCUGAUCACUCAGUCACAUAUCUGGAUACCGACCUCUUUGGCAGAAUCAUCUUCAUCAUCAAGGUCCACCGACACCUCGGCGGCAUUUUGGCAUGUAUCACAUAUGUGUGUCACACGGCCACGGACACAUCCACGUGAGUGCGCCUCCAUAAUGCACACCUUAAAAUGCAAGAGAUCCAGGAUAAAUUCGAGAAUUCAGGUGAAUGCAAACACCGAAGGAGAUGGCUUUGAGUAGUUAUCAGAGCAUUGUUCCAGGAAAAAAUAUCUGACUUGGAACUUGCAUGAGAACACAUUGCCCGAAGAAACUGACCCUGUCAGCUGUUGGAUCUCUCCCUUCAAUCUCUACCAUUGUGCUCAUUCAUCAGAGUCAGAGAGAUCACUGAAUACAAAAUCCUUACCUGGAGUGUUCCCAGAUACUACCAGGUUCCAGUGAUAAUAACUACUUGAAGCAUGCAUCUUGCCGAUUGACCUUUGGUGUCUCAAUCUCAAUCCCAGCUCCGUCAGCUUUCAACCUCAAAAGCACAAAUAUGUUAAGACAAAGCAUGGUGGAAUCAACCUUGCCAUGAGGGAACAAACUCAAGUGGAAACACCAAAACCUACAGAGUCAAUAAUGUGAGUCCUGGUCAGCUAAUAACCACAGUGACCUACAGCCCAAGCACUAAAGAGCACAAGCCAGCAAAAGUCUGGGCAAGAGUGGUAUAAAUAUGCCUAAAACGACUCAAAAAUAUAAACUGCAUAGAGAUUAUGUGCUCAAUUAACUGCAUUGCUAUGAUAUAUAUGAGACCAUGAGGGUUUUUUUCCCUUCUUAAAGGAACCACGCGUUUUUCCUGGCGAAGAAAUAGUGAGUUUACACAACAGCCAUGUCCCAAUUGCAUUCGUCUCAGAAGCAGAUUUCACAACAAAUUAUAUUCACAAGCAAAGAAAUGCUGAAUUGCAGAAUAUGUAGAUUGCUAAGAUAAUCUUAGUAAUUGAAGCCACAUGUAUAACCAACAGGAUGAACACCAGUAACAUGAUAAAGAUGCAACAACAGACAUUAGCUACAAAGAUGUGGCAAUGGAGCAAAGGAAUGACACAUCCCAGUGACCAUGCCAUUCUAACACUGUAAACCCCGAAGAAACACUCAAGAAAAAAAAUGACAUCUGAUUUUCUGGCACAAGAUAAACAGCGACUAUAAAGAGAAAUAACAAGCUGAAUCCCUAUCGAUAGCUGCUCAUGGAUUCACCCGAGGCGGAUCUCCUCCCUUUAUCAGAGUUUAUUUA
rnacentral:lncRNA from 1 species